UCUAGGUGAUUCAAACUCUGGGUUUCAAUUACACUCGUAAGGAAUUCAAUGAAUAUCUCCGCAACAAUAAAGAGCAACAUUUUAAUUCAGGAGAUGAAGCAUUACAGACUUACCGAAGCAUGCUGGAAAAUACUAUCCCACGUAAACUCUCGGAAAUAUUCAAGCAUAUACCUCGAACGAAAUUGCAAAUUCAAGCUGUCCCAGAAGAUUUAACAGGAGGACCUCUUGCGUAUUAUAUUCCAGUUGCCCCUGAUAAUUCAACUCCAGGAAUAUUCUUUUUGGAUACAUCAAAUCUCGCCAGUUU